CGCGCAGGCGCCGUAGCUGCGAGGCAAGCGCGCGCGGGCGGAGGAUGGAUGGAGGAGGAGAAGCGGAAGCCAUGGCAACCAGGUCCUUCGCCUUCAGCUUCGAGCAGCUAUGUUGUCAUGAGGUGGUUCCUGCAGUUGUUGGAAGGGGGGUUCGGAUAUCCUCUGAAACCUUUCAACUCUUUAAGCCUUUAAAAUAAAUACUUAUUAAGUUGAAUGGAGUUCAAACUUGGCAAGAUUUUGGUGGAAGCCACAGCUGCUUUGCUUCAACAAAGAGCUUUCCACUGGAGUCAAAGCGACAUCUGGUGGCUAGGGGACCAAAGGCUACAUCAGGAUGCUGGUGUUCAGGUUGAUAAGGCAAAGGUGUAAAUGCAGAACAUGCUGAUGGCUGGCAUGAGGGCAGCACAUUUGCUCCUGACUUCCACGGAGCUUUGCUCUGUGUUCACAGAGACUGGUGUUCACUGAUGCCAUGAAGAAGGCAUACUGAUAUGGUGCAGUGGCAAGGAGCACAGACAUGUCCCAUUGCCUGAGCUUAAGUAAUAAUAACAGCAGCAAGUUAUUCAACCUCUGGCUGUCUUAGUUUUCUUAUCUUUAUACUACAGUCCCAGUGCAUGAAAUUUGUACAUGGGUGAGGCUCUUAGGCCUGGCUGGCGAUCAGGGCCAGUGGGGGCCUUUUGGCUGCUGGCUGGGGCCUGUCAGACAGGGGAAAGGGCCAGGGGGGUUGGACAGCCAUGGGAGGAUGGCCGUGGGAGUGCACUGACCACGAGGGGGCAGCUCCUGCAUUGAGCGUCUGCUCCCUGGUGGUCAGUGCAUGUCAUAGUGACCAGUCAUUCUGGUUGUUCUGGUCGUUCUGGCAUUCCCAUUGCUUAGGCUUAGAUAGAUAGAUAGAUAGAUAGAUAGAUAGAUAGAUAGAUAGAUAAUAAGUGUUUGCUACUAUUAGCACUGUAACUGGACAAUCAAAGGGUCUGGGCUGACUGAUAUUACUUGAACCAAUUAAGCAGAGAUGGGGUUGAAUCAUAUAUGAGCAUUUACUCCAAUAAUACUGGCAGUAGGGGAGAGCAGGAGGUCAUCCACAGAAUUCUGCUCUCCUCUCCCCAUAAACCAGCUGCUUAUAUUGGGUAGAAGGACAAAGAUUACGUGGGAAAGUAGGAAUUACAGGUAUGGAAAGCGGGCAUGGAAUAAUCAUUACAGGUUACAAGUCAUGCGGGCUAGAGGGGCUCACAGAGGCAGGUGCCUCCAGGCGCCCAGGGACCAGAUUACAGGAAACGGGGCUGGGGUUGUAAAGAGCAGAUGCCUCCACUAGGUUGUUUCAUCCACCAGGCUGUGAAUCCUUCCACAAUGAUAGGCAGUUCUCAGACAGGAGGAUGGACUGCAUUUCAGUGUUAGGUCCCAUGUCCCAGGGCAUACAACUCUCAGCCAGGCUAGAAUGUGCUUUCUCUAAUCAGAACGGAAUCAUGGUUAACAGAGCAUGAAUAAUAUUAUAAUUAUAGUUGGUCUCCAAUAUUCUAUUUCUACCCCUAACAGUACCACAAACAAAUGUACUUGAGGAACCAUCUUUUAAAAAUUAUUUGGAAAUAUAUGGUGUCUCCUUGACAGGUUUCACUUUGAUGGAAUAUUUUCUGCCAUUGAGGGAUUUACAAAUUUCAUACUCAUUGCCAAUACUUGGGCAGGCAGAUAAAUAAUUUCACUGUGUGAGAUUUACAAGAAAUCUUCAGUAAUGGUGCUGGAAGCAGAUCUGGUUUUGUUGUUGUUUGUUUGUUUGUUUGUUUAUCUCUAUAAGAAACAGACAGGAAGAGGGACUUAGGAUGGCCAAGGAGAGGGCAGGCUUUGCACUGUGAGGCUGCACCAUUACCUUUGUCCUCAGAACAUCUGAAAAAAGCAGAGGGCACUGUUAAAUGGGACACUUUCUGGAGCAAAUGCCCUUUGCUGUCAUGCAA